UAUGAACGCUGGCGGCGUGCCUAAUACAUGCAAGUCGAGCGAACAGAUGAGGAGCUUGCUCCUCUGACGUUAGCGGCGGACGGGUGAGUAACACGUGGAUAACCUACCUAUAAGACUGGGAUAACUUCGGGAAACCGGAGCUAAUACCGGAUAAUAUAUUGAACCGCAUGGUUCAAUAGUGAAAGACGGUUUUGCUGUCACUUAUAGAUGGAUCCGCGCCGCAUUAGCUAGUUGGUAAGGUAACGGCUUACCAAGGCGACGAUGCGUAGCCGACCUGAGAGGGUGAUCGGCCACACUGGAACUGAGACACGGUCCAGACUCCUACGGGAGGCAGCAGUAGGGAAUCUUCCGCAAUGGGCGAAAGCUUGACGGAGCAACGCCGCGUGAGUGAUGAAGGUCUUCGGAUCGUAAAACUCUGUUAUUAGGGAAGAACAAAUGUGUAAGUAACUAUGCACGUCUUGACGGUACCUAAUCAGAAAGCCACGGCUAACUACGUG
rnacentral:rRNA from 1 species